AGAACGAACGCUGGCGGCAGGCCUCAAACAUGCAAGUCUAGGGGGCGUAGCAAUACGUCACCGGCGGACGGGUGCGUAACACGUGGGAAUGUACUUAUUGGUUCGGAACAACUCAGGGAAACUUGAGCUAAUACCGAAUGUGCCCGAAAGGGGAAAGAUUUAUCGCCAAUAAAUCAGCCCGCGUCCGAUUAGCUAGUUGGUGGGGUAAAGGCCCACCAAGGCGACGAUCGGUAGCUGUUCUGAGAGGAAGAUCAGCCACACUGGGACUGAGACACGGCCCAGACUCCUACGGGAGGCAGCAGUUGGGAAUCUUGGACAAUGGGGAAACCUGAUCCAGCCAUGCCGCGUGAGUGAUGAAGGCCUUCGGGUUGUAAAACUCUUUCGACGGGGACGAUAAUGACGGUACCCGUAGAAGAAGCUCCGGCUAACUUCGCGCCAGCAGCCGC
rnacentral:rRNA from 1 species